GACGAACGCUGGCGGCGUGCUUAACACAUGCAAGUCGAACGGAAAGGCCCUGCUUUUGUGGGGUGCUCGAGUGGCGAACGGGUGAGUAACACGUGAGUAACCUGCCCUUGACUUUGGGAUAACUUCAGGAAACUGGGGCUAAUACCGGAUAGGAGCUCCUGCUGCAUGGUGGGGGUUGGAAAGUUUCGGCGGCUGGGGAUGGACUCGCGGCUUAUCAGCUUGUUGGUGGGGUAGUGGCUUACCAAGGCUUUGACGGGUAGCCGGCCUGAGAGGGUGACCGGCCACAUUGGGACUGAGAUACGGCCCAGACUCCUACGGGAGGCAGCAGUGGGGAAUAUUGCACAAUGGGCGGAAGCCUGAUGGAGCAACGCCGCGUGCGGGAUGACGGCCUUCGGGUUGUAAACCGCUUUCGCCUGUGACGAAGCGUGAGUGACGGUAAUGGGUAAAGAAGCACCGGCUAACUACGUG
rnacentral:rRNA from 1 species